UUUUUAAGUUACCUUUGUAAACGAUUAGCUCAUUCCUAAUUCUAAUUCCAGUUUCUGUAAUCAUAUUGCAGGGACUGUAAAACUAUCCAUGUCAUGAAGAAUUUUUUAUGCUUGAGUGUGUACUAUCUUGUUAUUGAUUGAGGGAGCAAUUGGUGGGAGCAAAUGGAAAGAUCUACCUGGUAAAGCCUUUGUAGACAAAUCAUCCCUUCACAAAUAUUACAAUUCAGAUCCUUUGGAGUAGUUAGAAGUGAUGAAGCCUUCAAACACAGUGUAUUCAUAGCUACAGAGUGCCCUGUUUUCACAUAGGUACAAAUUAUUCCACAAUCCCACUUUCUCAAAUGUUCGUUUUUUUUCUUACAACAAUAAUUCACAUAUAUGAGUUUCAACUGAAGUUAACUUGAUUUAUAUUUCAUCUCUAUGAAUAAGCAAAAACCUGAAUUAACAAAUGUGGGAACAAUUAGCCAAUCUCAUUGGUUUGGUUGCUGAGGAUUGUCUUCUUUAGAGUUUUGACAUUAUGCUUGCUCCUGAAUUCUCCAUGGUGACACCAUCAAUAUCUAUUCCUUGACUUUGCUCCAUGUGAAAGCUUUCAACUCAUUGGAGCAACUACUAAAGGAUUGUACUUGUGGGUUCUUCAGCUCAAGUCCUUGCCAAAACAGGGGUUGCCCUCCUCCCUUUCUCGUCUUUAUAUUCCAGGAUGUCCUCUGCUGAAGAAGCUAUGCCAAAGGUAUAAAAGGAAAAAAUUGCCCAACAUUUCUCACAUCCCCUGCAUUGUGAUACUUGAUGAAAUUGAUUCCUCAAUUGAAGAGGUCAUCUGGACAUAAGGCCCUUGCAUCCAAGCUUUUGCCUUUCUCUGCAAUUAUUGAUUCAGUAAGUAUUUUAUGUUUUUAUUUACUUUUUGUGCAAUCCAUGCACACCAAGUUUGUGAAUCAUUCUCUUUUACCAAUCAAUUCCAUCUCACCAUAGACCUUCCAUGGCUGCUCCAGAAUUGAAACCAGUAUUUUAAACUCUAAUACAAAAACAAAGCAAAGUACUGCUGCUUGAAAAUUAGUUUUAUUUUUUAAUUAAAUAAAUAUUAAAUGUGUGUAGUAGUUUUAAAUUUCUUUCUUUUUUUUAAAAUAUCUUUAGUAGUUAUAUAGCAAAACAGAAAAAGAAAUUUUCAAGGAUUUUUGAAUAAUUUUUUUGUGAUUUUCUAUGAUUUAUUUUAUGUUUACAAAAGAGGCAUGUUUUAUUGAUAAAUUUUAAAAUAAAAGAUCAAAAUACCCUACCAAAAUACAUUUUUGAAAUUGUUUUCAAAUUAAAAUAUUAUAACUGUAUGAUAGAAACACCUACCAUGGCAUCAUAUUUCAUAUGGCUUUGAAAUUAUCUACAGGUAGAAAUUGGAUGAGUAGGACUUUUCUACCUGUGUUUGUGACUGUGACUGUGGAUGCUUAUUUCUAGGUUAUUUUCAACAUGUGACUGUGUUUGUGGAUGCUUAUUUCUAGGUUAUUGUGGUGCUUGAAUGGAGACUGGUGGUUGGAAGUUGAUGUCAAAUCACCAAGACAUGAAAAUAUAUGGAUGCUAUACUCAUUGUAUAGACUUUUCACUUCUCCUCUGUCUUGCAUGGCACUUGGGUAUGCUCUUUUGCAUAGGGAGAGCUUAUGCAUGGUAGAAAAGCUCUCUUCUUGUUAGUGGGUCCAUUAACUGACUUAUAACUAUGAGAAAUAAAAAUAUAAGAUAAAUAACGCAUCAUAUCUCAUAUCGUUCUGAAAUUACCUGCAGGUGAAAGUUAGGCAGAUUUUUGUUGCCUUCCUAAGUUUUGUUGUUGCUAUAAAACCAUGUGUAAGUAGCUUCUACUUUUGGUAACUUAACAUGAGACUAGCUUUAAUGGAUGGAUUGAAAAUUAUUCUGGGUUUCAACUUUAUUACUGCACUCAUAAAAAUCUAGAUAGUUUGUGAAUUGCAAGUUGAUGUUUGUCUUAAUAGCUUAAUUUUCAGAUAUUAAAAAAAAAUCCACUGUAUUUCCCAAAAAUAUCUUGACAGAGCUAGAAGUAGGAGAAGCUAGAGAGAUAGGGGAAGAACCAAAGUCCAGAAUUAUGGGCAUGAAGGAGGAGAUGAAGCCCUUGUUGGUUUCAUAUAAAAUAACAAUGGUAAUACUAGAAAUACAAAGUUUUAUUGGAAUUAUAAAAGAACUUAGGGAAAAAGAUACAUCUUUUAGAUUUGGAAAAGCAAUUCCCUACUCUCCAACUUUCAAACUUUUACUGGUUCACUUCAAAAUCAAGCAUACGAUUUUGUUCACAACCAAGUUAAUUGCAUUUCAAUAUUGUAGGCUUCUGGCUUAAAUACAAAUCUCUUGGCUGUCAAAUAAGCUUUGCUGCUUUAAUUGAUCUAUGUCUCUGGAGUUUCAUGCCGACUUUGUGUGGCAGGGGACCAAAACAUUCUUCCUGCCCUUUGAAGAAGCCCAAACAGAGUUACCCUGAUCAGGUAGGGAAAUUGGACUUUUGAAUUGGGUUGCCAACUCUGUUAUGCAACAUAAAAUCCUCUCCUUUUCAAAUCUGCUAUACCUUCUUAGGUUAUUAAGAUGCUUUUUGUGUGAUCCAUAUUUACAGGAUGUGAAUGAGUGAAGACUUUGGUCCUGAAAAGUGUUGCAAAUGUGGUGAAGAAUCACUAGCACUCUAAUUUGGUGGGAUAUAGAUUUCUAAGCGACCUUUGUAAACAAUUAGCUCCUUCCUAAUUCUAAUUAUUCUGUUUCUGUAAUCUUUUGUCAGGGACUAUAAAACCGUUCAUGUCAUGAAGAAUUUUCUAUGCCUGAGUGCAUACUAUCUUGUUAUUGAUAUAGGAGGUUCUCCACCAAAAGACUCCAAAUGGAAAGAUCUACCUGGUAAAGCCUUUGUAGAGAACUUGGUGGCGAUCAGAAAAGCUUCCAGUACUACUAUAGUUGUUCUGUUUUGUUGGGGUUUUGUCAGACCAUUGUAAGAGAACAAAAACUUUCUCCAAGCCCUUUCAGAAACUUAUACCAAACCUGAAAAGUCCCAAUGGCACAGUAAGGUAGGGAAAUGGGAUUGCACCUGUGACCUGUUUCAUACUCAUACUAGCUCUUACUAAAACCAUUUUCUUUUUCCUCUUCUACAUUCUUAGAUCUUUGAAUCCUUGAUACGUACAUGGAUGCGUAAGUGGAGAUCUGGAGGUCUCAAAGGUGAUGCAAACACGGUGCAGAAUCACUGGUGGAGAUGUGGUGGGAUCAGAACUUGCAAUGCUCCCCCUGAAUGUGAAGAGUAAGGAAUGGCAGCAACGCCCUCUCAUUGGUUCCCAAGUUCAUGUAUCAAAUCAAGUGGAUGAUCUCACCACCACCCCGUAAGACUUCAUGUUUCACCCAGAACUGUUGGCAUGUCCAGUUCUUCGGUCUCUAAACUGUAAGCAUAUGAAAGAUGUUUCCCAAUAUCUGUUGUGCUCAAAAGGCAUCUUUAGCAAGACCUACAAUUUUGCUGAAUAGAAAAUUAGCUUACUUGAUGUCAGGUCAAGUAAACAUUAUCUUAGUGAACUUAAUGAAUUUUUUUUUUUUUAGUUAUGAUUCUUCAAUUUCAAGGAAUCUGAAAGUCUUUCGGCUCUUCGAGAUGAGGCUACCACCCAUGCUUGAAACCCUUGAGAUCCAAGGCUGUCCCAUUCUUGAGUCCCUGCCAGAGGGAAUGAUGCAAAAUAAUACUACUCUCCAAAGCUUGUCUAUCAUGCAUUGUGAUUCUCUAAGGUCCCUCCCCGGUAUCAAUUCAUUGAAAACACUUUUAAUUGAAUGGUGUAAGAAAUUGGAGUUAUCUUUGGCUGAGGAUAUGACACACAACCACUGUGCUUCCCUUACAACUUUAUAUAUAGGAAAUAGUUGCGAUUCUCUCACUUCCUUUCCAUUAGCCUUCUUCACAAAGUUUGAGACACUUGAUAUUUGGGGUUGUACAAACCUGGAGUCCCUUUACAUUCCAGAUGGAUUCCACCAUGUGGAUCUCACAUCUCUCCAGAGCUUGUAUAUCUAUUAUUGUGCUAAUCUGGUAUCUUUUCCACAAGGAGGAUUACCCACUCCCAACCCCAAAUCACUUCUAAUCAGCUCGUCCAAGAAGUUCAGGUUACUGCCCCAAGGGAUGCACACCCUCCUUACAUCCCUUCAACAUUUGCAUAUAUCUAAUUGUCCAGAAAUUGAUUCGUUUCCCCAAGGGGGUUUACCCUCUAAUCUAUCUUCCCUUCACAUCUGGAAUUGCAACAAAACUUGUGGCCUGCCGGAUGGAGUGGGGCUUGCAAACACUUCCCUUUCAUAGAAGCUUGUGGAUUGGAGGACAUAAAGAAGAAAGAUUGGAGUCAUUUCCUGAGGAGCAAUUUCUGCCCUCCACUCUCACCUCUCUUACAAUUGGGGCUUUUCCAAAUCUUAAAUCCUUGGACAAUAAGGGGCUUCAGUAUCUCAUCUCUCUUGAAACUCUGUAUAUUUUGAAUUGUGAGAAGCUCAAGUCCUUCCCAAAACAUGGGCUGCCCUCCUCCCUUUCUCGUCUUAAUAUUAGUAAGCGUCUGCUGCUAAAGAAGAGGUGCCAAAGGGAUAAAGGGAAAGAAUGGCCCAAGAUUUGUCACAUCCCCUGCAUAGUGAUUGAAGAAGAGUUCAUUUUGUCAUGAGGGCCUUGCAGCAUCCAAGCUCUUGCUUUCUCUGCAAUUAUUGAUUCAGGUACCUACUUUCUGCUUUUAUUUAUUUUUUGUACAAUAGAUGCUCACAAGUUUGCAUUUCAUUCUCAUUUAUCAAUCAAUUCCAUCUCACUUACUGUAUGGCUUACAUUUCUGCUUUAGAAUUGAAACCAAUUUUUUAAACUCUAAUAGCAAACAAAGCAAAUUGCUUGAAUAUCAAUUUAAAUUUUUAAUUACGUUUUUAUUUUUAUAAAUAUUAAAGGUGUGUAGUAUUUUCGAAUUUGUUUCUUAUUUAAAAAAAAAAACAUUUUUAGCAAUUAUGUAACUAAAAGGAAAAAGUAUUUUUAAGUCUGUGCUAUGUGGUUGUCAUUAGACCUAGGUUCCUCUUCAUGUUAUGCAGCUUCAUCAAUGGCAUCACUCAAGACUUAGGAAGAGGUACUAUUUUGUUGGCCUUUGGAAUAAAAUAUGUCUUUUACUACCAUGAAGAUUCUGUUUUACUGGAGUACCUAUCAGUAUGCAUGCUGCAGUGGCAUUGCAACACCUUUCAGAAGUUAACAUGAAAUUAGCCAGGUUAUGAACUUUGGAAAUUAGGCAGCGUCUACCCUUGAUACACAAAAGCACUUUUCAGCUGAAUCUGUUUUUGAAGAUGAAAUUUAAUUCCAUGGUGCAAUUUAGGGCCUGUUUGUUUAGUGUUUUCAAGAACUGUUUUCUGUUCUUGAAAACAAAAAACACCAAAAACUCGUUUGGUUGACAGGGUCGUUUUUGUUUUUGUUGUUUCCCGUGUUCUCAAAAUGGCACUGUUUAGAGAACAACAAAAUGUUGUUUUCCUCGUUUUUUUUACUGUUUACAGAACAAAAUUAAACAAAAAAAAACAACUUAUUCUCCGUGUUUUUUUUUUCUUCCCGUUCUCAUCUCUUCUCCAGCACAAUCUCAGUCUUGAUUCAAGGUUUGUGAAAUUUAAAUCCAAUGGCACAAUAGCAAAGAGACCCCUAAAACGGAUCCAGAAAACACAGGGAGCAAAAGAACCAUUUUUUUGGUUUUCCUUGGGGUUUUUGCUUGGAUUUUCUCAGAAAUCAAACGAGGAUGAAAUUUCCCGGAAAUCGAAUGGGGGAUGGAUUUUCUUGGUAAUCAAACGGGGGUUGCAAAAAUAAUAAUAAUAAUAAUAAUAACAUGAUUAGAUUAGUACCUGCGAGGAUUGAGAGUGGCAGAGGAAAAUAGGGCCUUUUAGGGAUUCUCUUGGCUGGAGGGCAACUUCAGAAAAGGGCUUUUUGAUGCCCGAGAGAGAGAGAGAAGUGGGUGGCAUUUUGGAUUUAGUAGAGAUAAAAAAAAAAUUUUAAUAAAUCACGAGCACAAUUUUAUCUCAAUUUAAUAGAAUAUGUUAUACCUUUUUAAGAUUAAAUAAAAAAAUAUUAAUAAAAAUAAUUUUAUUAUGUUUGAUUUAUUUUAAAAAAAUAUUUUUAUUUUUAAAUUAAUAAAAUAAAUAAUUUUUUUAAUUUAAAUGAACUAUAUAUCUAAAAAUUAUUUAUAAAUUUAUAAUGUAAAAUUACUUGAAGAAAAUAUUUUAUUAAUUAGAAAAGAAAAAAAAAACAUCUUUCAAACGUGUUUUUUAUUUUAUUUGUUAAAAUUUUUUUUUUAUUAACUCAACCAAACAUGUUUUUUUGUUUUUGAGAACAAAAACUGUUUUUUAAAAUUCAGUUCCCAAACACAAUUUUUUUUAAAAAAACAUCAAAAACUGUUCUUAAAAACUGUUCUCAAAAACUGUUUUCCAGAACAGUUUUCAAAAACAGCAACCAAACAAGCCCUUAGUGUUUCAUUCUUUGUUUUUGUUUUUGUUUUUCAUAUAGUUUUCAACAUGUGACUGCACUUUGUGGAUGCUUGUUUCUUGGUUAUUUUGAUAUUAGAAUGGAGGUUGGUGUUGGAAAAGUUGAUGUGGAACCACCAAGACAGAAAACUAUAUGGAUGGUAUGGGCAUUGGGUGGACUACUCAUUUCUUCUGUGUCUUGCAUGGCACUCAAGUGUGCUUUCUUGUAUAGGAAGAACUUAGACAUGGUAGAGGACUUGUUAGGAGCAUAAAGGAAGUAAGAAGAAACCUUAAGAAUUAUAGCCAUGAAGGUUAAGAGACUUCUAUUACUCGAAUAACUUUGAGACAUAUCCUAGCAAUAAAAAUUAUACAAUAUUUUACAUGUCCAAACCACCUCUUUUGGGUUCUCUUGACCUUCAACAUUCAAGGGAAAAAACAUUUGAGACUUUAAUGCUUUAAAAGUUAAUGUUUUAGAAAUUUAUAUAAGCAUGUUGACAGAUGUAGUUUUUGAUGCAGGUCAUUGAAUGGGUUGUUAACAAAACCCUUAGAAAUAGAAAUUACAAGUUGAUCUGAACUUUCAAAACUAGUUAUUUUUUCACUUCAAAAUUGAAUAUAAGACUUUGUUAAUGGACAAAUUGCAUUUCAAUAUUGCAGGCUCGAUCUAGUGUAGUACCCACUUGUUGGCUACAAGAAUAGCUUUCAGUAUCACUAUAGCUGUUCUAUUUUGCUGGGGUUGUCUCGGACCAUGUGCUGUAAGAGAACAAUAACUUUCUCGAAGCCCUUUCAGAAGCUUAUAAUAAACCUGAAAAGUUCCCAUGGCACAGUAAGGUAAGGAAAUGGGAUUGCACCUGUGACCUAUUUCAUACUCACACUAGCUCCCGCUGAAAUAAAUUUUUUCCUUCUCUACAUAAUUAGACAUUCGAAUCCUUGAUGCCUACAUGGAUGAGUAAGUGGAGAUUUGGAGGUCUCAAAGGUGAAGCAAACACAGGCAGAAUCACUAAUGUGGUGGGAGCAGAACGUGCAAUGCUACAGCUAAUUAUGAAGAGUAAGAAAUGGCAGCAAAGUCCUCUCCUUGGUUACCAAGUUCAUAUAUCAAAUCAACUGGGUGAUCUCACCUCCACACUGGCAGACUUCUUGUUUCACCCAGAAGGUUUCUCUUACUAUUGGUAUCAGAACUGUGUACAUGUCCAGUUCUUCGGUCUCUUAACUGUAAGCAUACGAACAAUGUUUCUCAAUAUCUGUUGUGCUCAAAAGGCAUCUUAUGCAAGUCCUACAAUUUUGCCGCUUACAAAGUGAGUUUCUUCUUCAUGAGGAAUGAGAUAUUUGAAAGUUGUACUGCUUUUACUUGAAUUCAAUGGAAUAAAUAACAUUUUUUUCCCUUCCCCUGCAGCUAAUUGAGAUUGAUACUUUUAUGAAUGGAGAUAAAUAUGCCAAGCUACAGAACUUAAUUUUAAAAGGGGCUCCUGCAGGCUCAUUGCUGAUGUUUUUUCCAGAUAGUCUUGAUCAUGAUUGCAAGGUUCAACAGUUAAAUUCUAGCUUUCAAGGUAGAGGCAAAAUCGGCUUCCAUCUAUGCUGUUGAAAUAAAAAAUAGUGCAGCAAUUUGUUGAAGUGCUUAGAAACUAAAACCAAACAAUCUCUAGGUCAAGGAAUAAUAUGAAAAUAACGUUAAUUGUGCAUAUAUUAUAUAUAGGUAACUAUGUCUAAAUUGUAACAAUGGACUGCCUAAUACUUUGAUGGAUAAGAAAAUGGUAUUCCUGAAUGCGUUCAGAAAAUAUUGGGGGUCAUGAAACAGAAAGCAUUGUACACCUGAAAAAAGAAGGGUACAGUUCUUAUUCUAACUUGCUCAUUGAUUUGAUAUAUAAUUCCUUGGACGUGAUGGUGUAUUUGGUUUUCAGAAUGCAAAAUUUUAAUUUGUGUACAAGGCAGGUAACCUUGGAACUCAUUUCGAUUGAAAUGGACAUCUGAAUGAAUGAUGUUAUCCUCUUUCUAGUUUCAAUCACUACCCUUGUUUUCAGGUUCUUUAUCCAGUUCUCUUGUUUUCAGCACCUCACCUCUCUUGAAAUGCUGGGGAUAGAGCGGUGUAAUAAACUCAAGUCCUUGCCAAAACAAGGGCUACCAUCCUCUCUUUCUUGUCUUUAUAUUACUGAGGAAGCGGUGCCAAAGGUAUAAAAGGAAAGAAUGGCCCAGCAUUUCUCACAUCCCUGCAUUGCGUUCGAAGAUGAGUCAUCUGAUGAAGAGGUCAUCUUGUCAUGAGGCCCUCGCAUCCAAGUUCUUGCUUUUCUCUGCAAUUAUUGAUUCAGGUACUCCUGCUCUUAUUGUGCAAAUUAUUGAUUUGAAAAAAAAUAAUUAAAUGUUGGUUGGAUGUGGUUUUUGCUAUCAAAAUUUGAAUUAAAAAAGUAAACACUCCCUACCAAAAUUAUUAGCUCAGUGCAUAUACUAUAAAUUAUUCCUAGCUAACUUAAAUAAUAUUUCUUGAAAUUUAUUUGUUUCAUUCAUUUGCAUUUUUAUGCAUUUACUAACCAUUUCCCAUUUCCAAGCAAGGUCUAGUGUAAUAAACCUAGUGUGAUGAAUUUCUCAAUCUGCCCUCUUCCACAGGUGACCUACAAAAAGUAGGAAGUACUGCCUUGAAGGUUACAUCAGCUUGCUAAGUUGGUAUAGCAGCAUGAUGAACAUGAGAAAAAUUCAAUUCCUCAUUUAUUUUUUACAAUACCAUAUUCUAAAGAAAAUGUCCAAACCAUACAUAAAUUUUUGUCAUCCCAAAAGCUAAAAUUCAUAGCAACAUUGAAUCGAUUAAUUUUACCAAUAUUUAUUUAUUAACAAAAAUUUAAGUGAUAUUUUAAAACUUAAUUUCAUCAAUUUAACAUACCCAAAAAUAUUAAAUCCACUAAAUUUUGUUCCUACAAUUUUCUCAAUUUGACCAAUUCAUAUUCUAAUUCUGCCAAAGGCCCAUGGAACAAAUUCAAGACUUACCCUUGACCUAAUUUCAACCUUUAACAACCAAUGCUCACUUUUGACUAAAUUUUCUAACUUGUUUGACAAAAAUUUUAAUACUAUAAACUGACGUAGACCCCAAAUUUUAAGACCUUAUCAAUGGGUUUCAAAAUGGGUAGCCUUCUUUUUAAACUAUAAUUUAUUGGCUUAGGCUUUGUUUGGACUUGUCUUUGGUUAUUGGGUUCGAGAUAUAUAUUGCUUUGGUCUUGCUUUGGUUGUGGCCAUGGGCUUGUUUGUUGGGAUAUUGAAUUUUUCGACUUAGGCCUACUGGUGAGCUCUUAGCUUACUGGGCUUUUUAAGUCUUUGUCUUUGGGUUCGGCUUUCAUUUGAUUUAUUUGGACAUGGAAAAUUUAAUGGACUUUCAUUUGAUUUACUUGGACAUGAUUUACAUUCCAAAUGGACUUCACCACAUGGAUCUCACAUCUCUCCAGAGCUUGUGUAUUGAUCAUUGCCCUAAUCUGGUAUCUUUAAUAGCAAGGAGGAUUGCCCACUCCAAAUCUAAGAGAGCUUGUUAUAAUUGACUGCGAGAAACUCAAGUCACUACCCCAAGGGAUGCACACCUUCCUUACAUCCCUUCAUUAUUUGUAUAUAUCUAAUUGUCCAGAAAUUGAUUCAUUUCCAGAAGGAGGUUUGCCCACUAAUCUAUCUGAGCUUGACAUCAGGAAUUGCAACAAACUUGUGGCCUGUCGGAUGGAGUGGGGCUUGCAAAUGCUUCCCUUUCUUAGAAGCUUGUGGAUUGGAGGACUUGGAGUCAUUUCCCGAGGAGCAGUUUCUGCCCUCUACUCUCACCUCUCUUUCAAUUAGGGAUAUUCCAAAUCUGAAAUCCCUGGACAAUAAGGGCCUUAAGCACCUCACCUCUCUUGAAACUUUGAUGAUUAACAACUGUGAAAAGCUCAAGUCCUUGCCAAAACAGGGGCUGCCCUCCUCCCUUUCUCGUCUUUAUAUUUGAGGAUGUCCUCUACUAAAGAAGCGGUGCCAAAAGGAUAAAGGGAAAAAAUGGCCCAACAUUUCUCACAUCCCCUGCAUUGUGAUAGUUAAUGAAAAUGGUUUGUCAAAUGAAGAGGUCAUCUUGUCAUGAGGCCCUUGAAUCCAAGCUCUUGCCUUUCUCUGCAAUUAUUGAUUCAGUACGUACUUUCUGCUUUUAUUUAUGUUUUGUGCAAUCCACACACACCGAGUUUGUGUAUCGUUUAUUAAAUAGGAGCAAAAAGGAAGUAUGAAGAAAAGUUAAGAACUAUGACCAUAGAGGUUAGAUCAGCUUGCUAAGUUGAUACAACAACACAGAGCAACAUACUUCACCUAUUACUGAUCAAAUAACUGAGAGACACAUCCUAGCAAGAAAAAAUUGUAUAAUAUUUUACAUAUUGAAACCACCUUUGCUGGGUUUUCUAGACGUUCAACAUGCAGGGGAAAAAACAAUCAAGACGUUAAUGAUUAAAAAGUCUAAAUUUUAGAAAAUCAUAGAAGAUGUUCUCGAAUGUAGUUUUUGAUGCAGGUUAUCAAAUGGGCUGUCGACAAAACCCUUAGAAAUAGAAAUUAGAGGUUGAUCUGAACUUUCAAAUCUUAGUUAUUUUUUCACUACAAAAUUUAAUAUAAGAUUCGGUUAAUGGACAAAUUGCAUUUCAAUAUUGCAGGCUUAUAGUGUAAAUGCAAACUUGGUAGCUGUCAGAAAAGCUCUCAGUACUACCAUAGCUGUUUUAUUUUGCUGGGGUUUUAUGUCCGACCAUGUGCUGGAAGAGAACAAAAACUUUCUCCAAGCCCUUUCAGAAGCUUAUAAUAAACCUCAAAAGUCCUCAUGCCCAUUA
rnacentral:lncRNA from 1 species